UUCGCCGCUGCCUCCCUCCCUCCGCAGCUUGACCCGGUAGUGAAGGCAGAGAGAGAGGCAGGCUGGGUCCGCCUGGCAGCCUACGGGAGGAGGCGGGAGCCGGGAAGGAGGGGAGCCGAGGCCCGGCGUGGGGAGGCCGGCAGGAAGGGCCUCGAGCCCAGUGCGGACCUUUCUUCAGCCUCUGUGCGGCCGAGCCGCGCGCCAGGCUGCUGUGCGAGGAGGACGCGCUGACUUCCUCCGACAUGGGCUCUGAUAGAGCAGAAAUAGCGGGACCUGGACUUGUGGCGCGCCUGGUGCCUGGUGCCACAUCUCGGGCUCUGCGAGCCUCCUGGCGCGGGAUCCUGCCAAUGCAGGAGAGCACAUAUCAAUGAAGAAAAGACAAAAUGUAUUUAUCCAUGAAGCUGAGGUUAAGAAACAAGUGUCUUCAAGAGCCGGGGACAGCACUGGGUCUGUGCAGAGUUGAGAGAUGGUGAUGACAUGUGGUUUCCAGCAUUCCUGGCCCAGUCCAGGGACACUGUGGGUGUGCCCAGCUUAAGUCCAGUAACUGGAAAUACAAGCCCAAGUUCUGGAGAGUUUGAGCUGCAGAGAUAUAUAUGGGGACACUUUGAACCUUGACUCAUUGGCCAUAACCAGCAGAGUGGAAAAUACAAGAAGAGAAAAAAACAUUGAACUGCGAUUUUAUAACACCCUUUACUAGGCAGAGAGAAGAGGAAAGACCAGGAAAGAAAACUGUAUUACAAUGUGAAAACUUAAUGUUGAGAAAUUCAGGCAUCUUGGGGUUAGUGGGGAGAAGUUUUAGGGGCUUAGACUCUUCAAAACACAUGUACAGAAAUGCAUAUUUCAUCUGAUAUCUUAUCAAAUGACAUUUAUAGUGCUAAUCUUUACCUCAAGACUUCACAUCUUUUGGUGAUGGCAUCUUUUAGGUUUAUAGCAGUUAAGUUUGCAUGAAAGCACCAGGGCUGUUUCAUUUCAGUCAAGAAUUAAUGUUCAUUGAUUGUGCUUCUGCAUUUCAUGUAACUAUUGUAGAAUUUGUUUUAGUUUUAUGAGGGAAUAAUUGGUCCAACUUCUAUAUAACUCAGGAAUUUACUCUCAAACAACACUGUCAAUUAGUUACUUAUCUCUCUGGAAAUGAUCUGGGAACAUGGAGAGGAAAGGGAGGAAGAGGCAAAAUCUGACCACUUAAAUCUAAGCAUAUUAGAUCGUUUUAUGCUAGAAAGUCCUGAAUGAUGUGACUUUCGUUCUUGUAAAACACCUCUUUGCAUAGAUUCAUGGCCCAAACAGUAUAUAAACAGUGGAGAAGGAACUGCAUUUGCAAAUAGUUCAAAUCAUUGCUCCAUCUUAACUAUGCAGUUCACAAAGUGUGAAGAAAUUUGAUCAUCUCAAAAAAGAUAAUGUGAAAAAAUAUGUUUUGUUCUGUGACUUUAAAGUCUUGCAAUAUUUUACAUAAAUGAUAAUGGGUGCUUUAAUAAGAACCCUUGAUACUUUUGUUAUUGUAUUCAAUAUAUGCAUAUAAUACAACAGGAAGAUAUUGUGUUGGAUUUGGAAAUGUAUUCUUUCUUAUGCAAUCUUAUGCAGUCAUACUGCUUGAAUAUCAUUACCUGAAUUUAUCUUUCUUUUUUGUUGUUGUUGUUGUUUUGCACUGUACUUAUUUGGUGCCUGUCAGUCUUUUAUCAGCAGUUUAUAUUCUACUAAACUCAAAAAGACAAUCUCAUACCUUUUGUAAUUGUAGGCAUUCCUUAGUAGAUUUUUAAAUACACUUCAAAAAUUCAAGUACUUUGAUUUCAUGCCAUCAAGUAGCUGAAUCUAUCCCCCCCUCUCUUUUUAAAUUUAAGUGAAUAGUUCAAUUUCUGUCACUUUCUACUUUGUGAAUUGUAAAUCUUUUAAAACCAUCUUGCCAUUUUUCAUGCACUUACCCUUAUAGAAAACUCUGUGAAACACUACUUAUCUGACUUUUAUGUUUUUAACUCCUUUUUUAUAUUACUAUUCCUUCUGCUUUCUAAAUGCACAUAUUAAUUUGUUCUUUUUAUUCUCUGUAGCUCUUUUCAGUAUAUGAAUUCAGUUUCCCAUCAAUCCCCAUACAAUUAAAAAAAAGUUGAGUAUUCUGUUAUUUUAAUAUGAUAUCUAGUGCCCAUAUUCUAAUUCUGCCUCUUAUUUUUAAAGUAAUUUUAUUGUUGAUUUAAAAUGACAAAAGUUUCAAUUCCCAGAAAGUGAAAGGAAACAAAGGAAUAAUAUUAUGGGCUUAAUUUUUAUCAGUGAACUUGUAGGGCAAGAAAAGAUUUGGGGAAGGAAAUGAACAUAUUAUAUUGCAAAAUAGUAAGGAAAAAUCAGAUGUGUUUUCUAGUCUCUGGAAAAGCAUGUUUCAAGAAAUUCAAUGAAAAGUUCAUCGUGCUUGCUUAGAUUGUUGAGAAGCAAAAAUGCUGGUGAACAUUUGGAAGCAAUGAGAAUGUAAUUCUAAUCAUACUAUUUUAAUAGUGUUGCAAAACUCUCCAAACACUACUCUCUGUGGAUGUCUUUCAGAAUAUGAUGAAUACUAGUGGUCUUAUUCUGCCCUUUUCUCUCUACCACAAUAUAUACAUUGUAUAUUGCGUACACAUAUUUUCCAAAUAUUACAUAUAAUUUCAUGUAAUUUAUAGACCUAUUAAGGCCCAACCAUUUCUUGGAUAGGGGAUUCUUUGGAAGUCCAGCUUAAAUAAAGCCCUUAUAGAAAGUUUUUUUUAAAUUUAUACAUAAUCACCUAAAGUAACCUUAUCUACUGAACUCUUAGUACAUGCUACCGGAACCUUUUUUCACGUUUCUUCCUGGCUUGCAUUACAACACUGUUGACAUAUCUCAGCCUCACUUCUAGGCUUCUUUGAGAGCAUGACUCAUGUUUGUAUUCCUCACUGAGGUUGAAUGAAUAAGAGAAACUACAGUAGUAGGAAAAAAAAGUACAUGUAGAUAUCAGUGAAUAUCUGGAUCUAUUAUAAUGGAUCCAUUAUAGUAAGCACAAAAUCAACUGACACCAGCAAAGUAAACCCCAAAUUUUUAAUGGUAUUUUAAUAGAUCAAGAGGAGCAAGCAGAUUUUUGAGACAGUUGUCUCCUACUUUCUCUGUCACGGGGAGUAAUUUUAAAAGAAAAAUGGAGGGUAAGUUUCUUUAAGAGAAAAUUGUAGUUUACAACAGGUCAUGGGAUAAUUAGAAAUAAUUUAAUUGCUUUAGACGAUUUUAAUCUUUCAACUGCUUGCAAUUAGAUCCUAAGGCAAUAAAAGAAUAAGGAGGUUUGGAAAACCAUUGUCUGUAAUCUCUGAAGAAAAGUGGACAUUAGGGGAGUCAGUUGAAAAGCAAAGCUAUCACCAUUUUCUAAAGAGGAAAAAGGUGAACCUCACAAACUGUAAACCAAAAAAAAUAGGACAUCGAGAGAAAGAAUAUGAAGCUAGCAUAGGUUCACAAAGAAUGAGUCAAAUCAAACAACAUGCAUUUUUUAUUUAUAAAGCAUGACUUGUUCGUUGUCAAUUCAUGUUAGCUUAAUCAUUAGGCAUUAAUGCCAUCACUGCAAUGCAUAUGUCAGCAAUAAAUAAUCAAAGACCAGGCUUCCAUCAUUCUGUUUAAUAUCUUCAAGUAAUGCUUAAGUUUGCAAAUGCUCUUUUAACACAUUCUCCAUAUGCAGCCUGCCCAGCACUGCACACAAUAGACAUGUUACUUCCCCCUCACAAGCACUCCUAAUAUUUCAUGUGCUCAUCCAAUUGACUUCUCCCACUGGUGCCUCUUAUUGAAUUUGUAGAAUCAUACCUGCUCCUUUUUCAAAACUCUUCCGAGUUUUUUCUUAAAUAAUUCACUGACCCCAAAGUUGUCAGAUAUUGAAGACUACUCGCACAAUUUCAAUAUUAUAAAUGUAUAAUGUAAUCAAAAUUUGUAUAAUGUACGAUGUACUUUGGUAAAUAAAAGUAUGCUGUGAAUAAAUACAUAUGAUACAAUUCAAAAUUUUACAUAAAUAUGUGAUAAAAUUUAGCUCAUAUUCUUUUUUUUUUUUUCUUUGAGAUGGAGUCUCACUCUGUCGCACCCAGGCUGGAGUGCAGCGGCACAAUCCCAGCUCACUGCAACUUCUGCCUCCUAGGUUCAAACGAUUCUCCUGCCUCAGCCUCCUGAGUAGCUGGGAUUACAGGUGCCCACCACCAUGCUCAGCUAAUUUUUUUCUAUUUUUGUUGUUGUUGUUUUUAGUAGAGAUGGGGUUUCACCAUGUUGGUCAGGCUGGUCUUGAACUCCUGACCUCAGAUAAUCCACCUGCCUCGGCCUCCCAAAGUGCUGGGAUUACAGACAUGAACCACCAUGCCCGGCCUAGUUCAUGUUCUUUAAGGACAAUUAUGAAUAUUUUUGUGCACAGUUAAUUUUCAUUAAGAUAUUGAUCAAUUAAUAGCCAUAUAUGUUCUAUAAAUUAAUCCUAUCUAGUCUCAAUCUUAAAUUGUUCGCAUAUACUAAUCUAGUUUAUUGUUUGCAUAUAUUUUAUAGUGUAGAGAUUAGGCAUUUUAAUAAAAUUUUAAAAUUUCCGAGACAUACUGUUAAUGACUAUGCUUCCUACUAUAGGCCAUAAUUAAUUUUUUUCUAUUGUCAGCAAUAUUUUGGUAGGGAUGAUAAGGAAAUAAGGAAAUGUUUCCUUCAUUUGUUAUCAAUAGGUGUUUGGGGAUUUUAAAAUGAAAAUUGAAGAAGUAAAAGACAUCAUAUAUUUAGUUUGUUUGAUUUCGUGGCUUCAAGAGUUCAAUAAUUUAUUGAAAUAUUUUACAGACCAAAAGAACAACAGAUAUAUUACAUUUAUAAGCCCCCACAUAUUUUAAAGGAUAAUGGUUUAUAUAUGAAAAUUCCAUGAAGCUUACACUUCAUUAGGAAAAGCUAAAUAAAAUAAGUUUACAUUUCCUAGGACUAAUGGAAAUUUAUUUCCCAGUCCUCUUCUCUGGAGACAAAUGUAGGUCUCUCUUGAAAAGCAGAAAGAUUUGCAUAUGAGGUAUGAUUUAGUGGGCUAGAAACAUCUUUUCCACCCUUCCCAAAAUGUUUCACUAUGUUUUAUCAUACUAUCUGAUAAUUUUGCACCAAAGUUUUCUUUCUGUGUUAAGAAAAUGCAAAUAUCUCUGAAUGGGUCUCUUUGCUUUAGUCAUACUCAUAUGGCUACUACUGAACAAAAUAUGUUCAUUACAGGAUGAAGGGAAUGUUGCCAGCCAGCAAAUCCCUGGAGUCUGCACUACACCAAACGUUGCUUAGCAAUUUCCACGAUUUUCUCAGUCUAAUUUGCAAGAAUCAAGGAGAUGUUUGUGUAUGCUACAUGAAGUUGUAAAAUUGGUAUUUAUUGUAUGUUUCUAUAUUGAAAGCUUUACAAACAAAGGAAAUGGAAAGUUAACAGGUGGAUAUGAUAGUGUGGCACUACUUUAGCUGGAUGGUAAGGGAGAGCUUCUCUUAGGAAGUGUUUUAGGCCAGGACUUGAAUAAUGAACGGUAUCUAGUUGUACAAAAAUCUGGGGGAAAGACUUUUCAGGCCCAGGAGAAAUGAAAAUUCUUUUCAUGCAUACAAGAAUGAAAGUGAAAAUUACCUACUCUAUGUCCUGAAGUGGGAAGUUGGCUUGCCAGAGAGUAGGUAAUUUUCACUUUGAUUCUUUUAUGCCUUCAAUUAUACUACUUCUUAGGUUAGUUCAUAAGGGCUUCCACAGUUUGGUUCCUACUUAAAAUUUAAAACUUCCCUAACCCAUUCCCACCAUAUAUUGUGCUAAUCCAUGCAUUUGUGACUUUGCGUAUGCUGUUUUCAUUGUUUAAUAUUCUUCUCAUGCAUUCUUUCUUUCCUGAUAACGAACUCAUCUUUGAAACUCCCCUUCAAGCAUCCUCUCCUUUAGGAGGCCGCUUCUCACUGUCUCCUGCCUACCACUCAUUGAAUUGUUCAGUUUUUAAGCUGCCAUUGUCUUGUGCAUUUGACACAUUGCUUUGCAAUUACUGAUUUACAUGUCUGCUUUUAUCACUGGUGAGGUUCUUUAGGAGAGAGACAUUAUUAAUUCAUCUCUGGGCACAUAUGUUCCAACAUAUUAGAAGUACUACAGAGUGCUAUUACUAUGUAGUAUGUAGUAUUAGUAGUAGUUACUCACAAAUCAUUUUUAAAUAAGUGAUUAUAAUAUCUUUUUGUUAUUAUGAUUUAACACAAGAUAGAAUUUAUUUUCAGAAGUUUCCAUGAUAUAUUUGUUCUAGUUAAAAUCCAAUAGCCAUUAGAAUAUUACCAUUAUUUAAUGUAAAACAAUAAAAUAUUAAAUAUGAUCAUUCAUAUUUAAUGCAAACCGAACUCAUGGAAAUAUUGUGUAAAGAUCAAGUAAUUUUUGACAUACAAUUUUAAACUCAGCUUUUCAUAUAGCAUACCUUAUGGUAUAUUUUCAGCCUAUUUUUAAAUAUGUUGGCAUUGAAAGCCAGUUACUAAUUUGUUGAAUUCAUUAUUUCUUUUUAAGUUAUAGAAGUAGAAUUAUGUUUGAGACAUUCAUUGCAUGACAUUUACCAGAACUUGAGUUCUUAACAUGGAACCUGAGAGCUUCUCCAAUUCUUAAGUCCCUGGGAGAAAUAGAUUAGCUGGAUGAGGAACUGAGAGGAAAAAUGGUCAGAGAUGUAGCAAGAGUUGGCAAGAAGGGACAAUGAUUUGCUUUCAAGGAGAUUUUUUCAUUGGUCUGUUUUCAGUGACAAACCCACUGCGAUAAUACAUGUAAAGUGAAAACAUUCAGGAAGUUCCCUUAGAAACAUUUUUCUGGCAGUUUCUAAUUCUACAACAUUGUAUAAGUGAAAUACCAUAGUUACUGUCAUAGUAAAUUGAGCCAAGAGAAACAAGGGAACAGGAGAAGAAAAGAAUUAAAGAGAGUUUUGUCUUUCAGUCUUCACUAUUUUUCUUCUUGCUUUUACCAGUCAUUCAAGUUUAUAUAAUUUCUUUGGAGAGGCUUCUACUAUGCAGGUCUUCCUUAAAGUCAUUGGUAUUACCGGGCAUGAUAUGUGAGCCUUUAAUAUCAGUCCCAUUAUCUCUUUAUUUUUAAAGUUUAUAUCAGUACAGAGUCCUAGAUUCUUAAUUAAUUUAAUAGAUUAGACUUUACUGCUAACAUUCUUUAUUCUGAUGCUCAAAUUUUCCAAAAUUUGGCCAGCAGGGUUCCUUAAAGCUGGUUACCUUGCUCUUUCAACAUGUCCCUUUGAUUCUUUUUAUUUAUUUAUUUAUUUAUUUAUUUAUUUAUUUAUUUAGAGACUGAGUCUUGCUCUGUCUCCCAGGCUGGAGUGCAAUGGCACAAUCUUAGCUCACUGCAACCUUUGUCUCCCAGGUUCAAGCAAUUCUCCCUCAGCCUCCCAAGGAACUGGGACUACAGGCAUGUGCAACCAUGUCUGGCUAAUUUUUUUUGUAUUUUUAGUAGAGACAGGGUUUCACCAUGUUGGUCAGGCUGGUCUUGAUCUCCUGACCUCAAAUGAUCCAUCACCUGGGCCUCCCAAAGUGCUGGGAUUACAGGCGUGAGCUGCCACACCCAGCCGUCCCUCUCAUUCUUUAAGUACUUCCAUGUUUUCUAAUGUACCAGAUGUUCCAUAUUAUUUUGUUAUUUGUCUUCCCCAGCUCUGAAAUCUGCCUUUCCUUCAAGGAGCCUUGGUUCUUUCUAGUGACAAAUUAUAUUUAGAAACCAAGAUCUGGGUAUUUGACUUGUAUAUUGCUAUUAGUUGGCCAUUGUUUCUAGUCUCUUUCAGUAGACAGAGCUAAGAAAUGUAAAAAGAAAUAUUUGAAUGUAUGUAUAUGUAAUAUAUUAAGUACAUUUAAACAUAUUAAAUUCAUGAGUUCAUACUAAUACUUUCAAUAAGCCACAAUUCCCUUUUCAUGUUUUCGAAGGAAAAAUAUCCAUUGUCUAUAUACAGUGGACAUAGAUAGUAAUAAUACUGAUCUUGAAAAGAGCAAUCUUAAAUAGAUCCCAUUAAUAGUUAAAGAUAACAUAUCUUAGAAUUCUAGAUAUUAAAGAGAGAGAUUAUCUAGAGCUGUGAUCUAGCUAUUUUAUAGAUCUUUGCUGUGCUGUUUUGGAUUUGUGUUAGAGUAGAACAAUCAGAUGACAAACGCUCAUCCCACAUGGAAAAAUCAAAGCAUUCAUUACAGAGAGAAUUUUGAAAUAAAUGCAUAUAUAAAAAAUAUAUAUGCAUAUAUAAUGCAUAUGUAUAUGCAUAUAAAAUAUAUAUAUAAAAUGGGGGUUAUAAACAAUGAAGGAAAUAGUGAUACUAUAUAUGUGGGAACAAUACUAGUAUCCUCCCUUUGGAUGAAUACAGUAGCUACAGAUGCAAUUCUGGGGACUCUGUUUAACAAUAGCUUAACUAUUGCUUGGCUACAAGCAUGGAUAACUUGUUCAAAGAUAAUGAGGAGUUGUAAAUAUUUAAAUAAACAGGAUUUGCAACAUAAAAAUCUUUGUGACUACGUGUCUGAAUUCUUAGAGUUUCCUCCCAGCAAGGCAUUGGAUGUGGCAGACUUUUCUGUAAUGGUCCACCUCGCUCUAUUUCAUGAAAAGCCAGAGCUUCUCUACUUAGUUUGCUAACCCCAAAUAUAUAAAUUCAAUAGAAGUACUAGCCUGUUUUUACUGGUUUAUUUGCUUUAUCUAAAAAAAAAAAAGGCAUAGUUUAAAGUCUGUUUUUGAUAGCGUAACAAAACAAAGGUUCUCAUUUUAAUAAUGCAUCACAUAUACACUUGGUAACUAUUGCAUAGUAGUAAUUUAAUAACUUGAAAAAAUAUAUUUAUGCAUGUAUGUGUAUAUGUUCAUAUAUAUGUUAUUUUUAAUUUCAGAAGUAAAAAUAAUAUUGGAAGAGGCCACAGUUAUUAUAAAAAUAAUUUGACCAGUAUUGGACAAUGCAAAUAACAAUUAUUUAGAAGUUUCUGUGCAACAGAUGCCAUAUAUGUUACAUUUUAUUUGAUCAUCAAAACAAAAUUGUCAUAGAUAUUAUUAUCCCCAUUUCAUAGAAGAAGCUGAGAUUACAUAAUUUGUUCAACUUGACCAACUUCUUAUAACUAAUACAUAGUAGAGAUAAGGUUGAAACCUUGUUAGGUUUGACUCCAGACCCCAACCUCUUCUGAGUGCAUCAUAAAAGGCUUUGGUCUGCCUGUGGCCAGUAACAACUUUUACUAAAUUGAUUCUUUGCUUUUCAUCUGUUAAAGGAAGUUAUUCACCUAUUUUGAUGAUCCCCAAUGUCUUUAACAUCAAUAAGUGAGUCCACCACACGAUAGUUUUUAAUGUUUUGUUUCCAUGAUUACAAGAUUAAAAAACUAUUAAUAGUGAUACUUUUAAUUUUGAUUUUAUUAAUUAAAACACAUCUGUCUACAUCUGAAGAAUAGCACUUGUGACAACAGCAUAGACGGCUUCAUUUUGAGGAGUAAAUUACAAUUGAACAUGAACCAAAGAUACAUAGAGAAGGUGUGGAGCACACAAAUGUGAUUGAAAGCUGGCGUGGAGUCAACUUAAAUUGACUUUUUCUCAAAGGGCCCCUAAAAGAGGGUAGAAUCCCAACAGAUAGAGUCUAUGGAGAGAUAGACUGCUGAGACCCAUAUUAUGUUCAGUGAAGUGCAGGCAAGGAAGGGAUCCUUAGCAAAAUGGGGAGAGGAAUGGAUGGUCUGAAGAACCCUGAAGGAACUGAAACACUCUGCAAAGGAAAGAAGAUCGAGUAUCAGUGUUGACCCCUGCCAGACCCAGGCAGCAACAACGGCAGCUCACAAAGCACCAGAACAAACGCACUUUCUUGUGCCCCUACGUGUCUUCCCUUCACCGUCUUGAAUCCUGGUGUCAUCAUAAACUGUGUAAGUUAACAAUUGAGGAGGGGAAGAAUGAUAAAUUGGGAAAAUAGGAAAGUAUCUGUCUAGGCCCUACUUUCAUGCUGUAGGCCAGGCUGCUGUAGCAUGGCAGAUUAGGCAACUGCAGAAGCCUUAAUUUUGAGUGAAAGUUGGAGUUUUUAUUCUGCUCUGGCUGUACCUAUCAGUUUCAAAACUGGAAUAGUUUAAAUGACUAAAGUACUAGGAAGAUUUUAUUACUUAAUAUAACUAUGGAGAACUGACCAAGAUUUUAUCUAGGGGAAGGAGUAUCACCCUACAGAGCAGAUUUUAAGGGACAUUUUGAGAGAAAACAGUUACUUAGUGAUUUAAUGUUGCUAAUUCUGUUCUUUAGAAUACCAUCAUGUAUUUAUAUCCCUAUAUAUCACAUAACUAAAAUAUACAUUUAUCUGUACACGUGUGUAUCAUAUGGAGCACAUUUUCUUUUGCAGGGUUUCUUUGUUUUAAAUGUCUAUUUCGUUAUUUUCUUGAUUGAAUUUCUGUGAAUGCUUUUUUCCUCAAUGCUUUAGCUGUAAGCAAAUAAGGUAAGGACUUUAUAUGCAAUAUUCUACAUGUUUUGUUUUAUAAUUAGAGAAUAUCUUAUUUUAUCUAAACCUCAUGUAUCACGUGACAUAUUUGAUACCCUGUCAUAUAUCAUACUUGCAUGCAAAUGUUUAUAAAACACAAAUCAUCUCAAAUCAACAGGAUCAAAAUUAUAUUUGAAAAAUGUACUCAAUAAUAUGUAUAAGAUGAGAUAAAAUUAAUUCUAAUUGAAUUCACACAGCAUUUGAAAUUGGAUGUAAAUCUGUAAUACCAAGUUACAUUACAUAUGAAUUAUUAUUAUAUUUGCAUUCAGGAAAUUGUACUGUGUUCACAUCUGAGUAUCACUUAAAAAGAACAUUAGAACAGAUACCCUAUUUUCACUUUCUCUUCUCUUUUCCUGCUCCUUUUCUUCCUAUUUUCAAUAACCUAAGUGUCCUUGAAAAAUCUCUCCAUCUUAAUUAUCAAUAUGAAAGACUGAUUCUGAGAAAUGUAGAGAACCUAAGAUUUGCAUUUUAGUGGAAUAUAGAAUAUAAUUAAUAAAUAUUUUUAUAAGUAAAAUAUUUAAGAGGUAACAAUUUUAAGAUCUUAAAAGUCUUCUAUCAAAUACUGAAUUUUAGAUGUUAAGGCUAGUAGAGCUAUACAAAAAACAACAGCUUCUUGUAUGAAUGUUCCUCAGUUAGUUUAAAGAUUUAGUGUUCUAUUAUCAGUAUGUGGGCGUUAAAAAAACGAGUCAUUUGAAACUGAUAGAGAUAAUUAAGAAAUUCUUAGAUUUUGGGUAUAGGUGCUGCAACUUAGAAUUUAAGUGUCACCCCAAAGAGAUUAGUAUUGGUCAUAACAUGGACUCUAAAGCCACCAUUUAAAUGAAGCAUGUAAAAAAGAAUAUUCUAGUACACAAAAGUUAUUAAUGGCCUAGAAUGACCUCCUUCUCACUCAUAUGAUGUGAAGAAUACAGUAUAUAAAAAUGUUUGUUACAAUGGCUAUCCAUAAAAAAAGAAAACCCUCCAAAACAGCAAAAUUGAAUAGGUAUCCACAGUCAACUUUAUCCUGAAAAUUGCCUAGAAAUACUGGUUGUGAUUACACAGCAUUCUGAGACCAAUGAAUCUUUAGCCAGUAAUAAUUUCCUACCCUAAAGCUAUUCUCUACUUCCUCCUUAGUGACAGAGCUCCUUUCUGCUCAAAUUUUAUGCCAGAUAAAAUAUUCACCUUCUCGGACUCCCUGGCACCAGGCAUGGCCAUGUAAUGUAAGUGUAGGCAAUGAGACUAGGUAUGGACCCAUUAGGGGUUUCUCAGAAUGUUUUUGCUUUUCUAAUAUAGACAACCCUUUGUCUCUUUCUCUUUCUCCAGCCUACAGCACAGCUGAUGAAAGAGAAGCCAUCUUGCUGCUAUUUGACAAGCAAGAAGAUAAAAGCUUUCCUAUAAAGAUGAUGGAGCAAAAAGAUAGAAGGGGCCUAGACUCCCUACCUUCACACUUCCUGCUAUGAAAGCAUUGCUAUUAUAAGGUUAAUCUGCAGAAACAGACUUCUAUGUCAUAUGCUUAAAUGCAUCAAAAUUCAUACAAUAUCCAUUAAAUUGGUAAAAGUAUCCAUCUUAAAGGAUUAAUCUGAGGGACCCACAGACACUUAACACAAUCAAAUCUCAGAAAAAAAAUCAGUUAUUUCAUUGUUAUUUUGAGGCUGAUCUUUUAUGAUCUUUUAGUUAUCAAACUGUUAAAUACAUUUUAACUUUCAAAUUUUAUGAAUAAAGGAGAUGAAUCCUGUUAUUUUCUCAGUG